rnacentral:lncRNA from 1 species
AAAUGAUUUUGUGCCAAAACACAAAAAAAUUUCGUCUCCUCUGUCUAUUCAUUUCGUUCAGAUGCGAUAUCCUGUCGACGAAAUGAUUUUGUGUCAAAACACAAAAAAAUUUUGUCUCUGUCUAUUCAUUUCGUUCCGUUGCGAAAUCAUUCCGUCGACGAAAUGAUUUUGUGUCAAAACACACAAAAAAAUUUUGUCUCCUCUGUCUGCUAUGGGUCGCUGAUUGCCAGCGCCUGCAGCUAGCUAGCUGUACUAAAGCUCCGGUCGGGCCGGUCACGUAGUUGUUGACGAGUUGGUGAACUUGUCUUAGCUUAGAUUUCACAUUAUUCAUGCCUACAUGAGCUGCAUACAACUGCUCUAAUCGCUAGGAUUGGGAUGGACAUUGAUUUCAUUUCCAUUCAGCUUUUGGACUGUACCGGUACUGUAACAUAGUAUGGAUGGUCAAUAUGAAGCAAGCUUCAUUGAAUUCCUCCAAGAGCUCUGUACUCUGUUCUGAUUAUUUUGAAGAUGCUUGCUUUGACUGGACUGGGCAAACGAUUCGUCUUAGACAGGAUGCUGCCCCAACCAUAUUUGAUUUCCCGCCUCGUCUUAAGUAGAAAUGACCCAAACCAAGGAAUUCCUGGAAAGAAUUUCGAUUUUGCAAACACCCUCCCAGAUACUGCAAAGACACCUGUACCAAAGUCUUCAGCACCUUCAUUUCUCGAGGACCACUACUACUCAAUACCAGAAAGUCCAAGAGGAGUAAAGUGGAAGUUAACACCAAUAAUGGACUGUUAUUAAAAACUUGGAGAAGAGGCCGAAGACCACACAGAAAUCCUGUAGUGUAGAUCACAUGUACUUGCUGUUAAGUUUGGACAAACAUAAUUUGCACAACUUUACAACAAAUAAUUUACACUGUGUGCAUUCUGAUUAUUUGAAAUAGUUUAUCACUGGGCAUGUAACAAAAGUGAAUUCAUUAAAUAGGAAUGUGUUG